rnacentral:lncRNA from 1 species
CAGGGUUAAAAAACCCGAUGAGUUCAAUCGUCCACGUUUGCCACUGUCAAAGAGAACAGUUUCCACGAAAAAUAUGAUCUCGAAAAAGACGUCAAAGAGGAGAAAAGGCCUAUUAAAGAACAAGCCGAAUGUGGUGAAAGGAAAGAAGGUCGGACGGCUGGAGUGACCGGCCCGCCAAUACACCGACUAAUGUUUAUAUGAGUGGUAAUAUUGCAUUGGCCCCUCGAACCUUCCAAAGUACUGAAUUGUGAGUAAUAAUAAUGGUUUGAAUAAAUUCUAAAGUGUAUAUAUAUGUAUGUGAACACUAUCUGUUCGUCCACUUUGAAAUCUAAAGUUUUGUUUAAAAGUGGAACGAUUUUCAAAUAAAGAAAUCAAAGCCGGAAAUAUGUUAUUUUUAUUAACAAAUUUCAUUGUAAUUUAAUGAAUAUUUUAAACAAGUUCCAAUUUUUGGGCGUUUUGCAGAAUUAUUCAGUUAGAAUGAAUAGUAUAAUGGAUUAUAUAUCAUAAUUAAGAAUAGUAUUAUUUAAUAGGAUUCCUGAUUAUGAUAUAUCAAAUUAUUUUUAACUAAACUUUACAUACCUGCAUUGCAGUGAAGUAUUUGUAAAUAAUUA